rnacentral:tRNA from 1 species
GGUCUCGUGGCUCAGUUCGGCAGAGCACUCGGUUGUCAUCCGAGAGGUCGCGGGUUCAAAUCCCGUCGGGACCGC